CUAAAAUAGUCUUGGCUAGGGCUUUAUGACCUUGGUCAUUAGUGGUCGUGUAGUCUGUAUGUCUUGGCUGCCAACAUUCACAAAACACAAUUCACAAGCACACACUUCAAGUCUUCAAUUGCAUCCUCGCUGCAGGCUUGCAGCCUACUUGAUUCAAUCGUAAAUCGUUCUUCGCUUCUCGCAAUCUCGCUACAUCGCUCCAGCCUCCAGCUUAACUCGUUCUUACUUCAAUCGCACACUUCAAUCGACGACGUGUUCCAUUCAGUGUCCAAUUGUCCAUAGUGAACACCGACGACUCGUUUCUUUGGAUCCGACAUACCUGCGACGACUUCUCCGACUCCACAACGAGUCAGCGACAACUUCUCCGGCUCCACAGGUCCGAUUCUCUAUUUCCUUUCGCUAUGCUGAUUAACGAUUCCUUAUUACCUAUGCUGAUUAACGAUUCCUUCUUUCCUUUCGCUAUGAGAUGCUUUCAUUUACUCACUGAUGACACGAUAUUAGGAGCAAGGUUGUCCCCUCUCUUGAUUUUUAAUAAAAAUUGUUUGUUGUUGAUUAGUUAGCUUUCCCAAUUUUUGCUGUUGAUUAGUUACCUUUCCCAAUUUUUGUUUUUUACAUUAUCUGAUUACUUACUGUUUCUUUGAAAUUUUAGGCUAGCCAAUAAUGGAACAACAACAGCGCAUAGAUUUGGAUCGUGAAAGUGAUGUUGAGCAACAGAACACUCAAUCGGUUGGGGACAAAAGAACAGCAAACGUUUGGCAUAAAUAUGUUGAUAUUAGAGAUCCAAAGACUAACAAAAUUGUAAAAGCCCAAUGUAAAUUUUGCUCUAGAGUGUUGAACGUUGUUACAAAAAAUGGUACAUCAUCUAUGGCUAAACAUCUUGUUACAUGUCCAAAUAACCCCGAAAAUAUUAGAUAAAAAACAAAAGAAAAUUAGCAUUUUUAAAACAAGUCAAAGUGAUGCUACCACUGUUUCAAAUUGGGAAUUUAAUCAAAAUUCCAUUAGGCAAGCUUUAGCUAAAAUGAUUGUCAUUGACGAGGAACCAUUUUCUUACGUGGAACGUGAUAAAUGUAUGUUAAUUUCAUUAAAGAAACUUUCUUUCUAAUUUCAAAAUUUCUAAAUUAAAUCCCAAAUAUUUCCAUUAUUUAUUUAUUUAACAUUUGUUUAAAUUUAAAAGAGAAAUGAGCACUUCAAUUUCAUUAAUUCAAUAUUUUUCUCACUUCCCUUAUAAAUACAAACUCCUAAAUGUUUAGACCUUUAUAUUUAACUUUUUUUAAAUAACUUUUUUUGCAUGGUAUAUAUUUUUGUUGGGCAUAUUCACAUGCAAAUAUACCAGCUAGGCCUAUGUGCAAUUACUAUGAUAUGUGUUACUAUGUGUGUUGAGACUUGGGGUAGUCUCCAGGAUUCUUGAUAAUCCUUAGGGUGUGUUGUUUGCCCAUUAAGACUUUGGGUAGUCUCCAUGGUUGUUGAUAACCCAUAAAUUUAUUUGUUUUGUGUUGUAUGUGAUAUUUUGGGGAACUCACUAAGCUUAGUGCUUACAGUAGUUGAUUAAAUGUGUUUCAGGUACUUCUGAUGAUCGUGGGAAGGCGAAUGCUUGAUUGUACACAUUCUCCUGCAGUUUCUGACUCCGGAUAUUUUGGGACACUUUAAUAUUUUUACGAUGAUUUGUAUUUGAUACUUGAGAUUUUCUUGAGAUAGGUUUUAUAAACAAUGUUUUUAGUUAAUUAAAAAUGAAAAUUUUGUUUUGAAAAUUUAGAUGUUACAAAUUGG
rnacentral:lncRNA from 1 species